ensembl:lncRNA
CAACUACUGAGCAUGGAAUUACCAGGAAAAACGGCUACUGUGUGGUGUGUUUUUGUUUUGUGAAAAUAUAGAUGCAACAUUAAAGUGAGGCUAAAAUAACAGCUUGUACAUCAAAACAUGAGCUGAUACGUAUGUGUUUUCAUUGAUCUUGUGCCUUUAUCAUUAUCUUCACAGAAGCACGGGCAUGUCCAUCUGUUGUGAUUUGGAAACACGGAGAACCUCUCUUCAUGUCAGAACCUCAAACUGACAGUGGUUCAUGGACCAAUAGGUUCACUGAUUGCUCGGGAGAUUGAAAUGAGAUACUCCUUCAAAGUUGCUGUGAAAGAUUCUCUUCUUUCUCAGUCCCGUAAGAUGAAGCUGUGGGCUCCAUGUCCCCUGUCUCCAGUGGAGAAUCAACAUCACAAGCUACAGCUCCUGAGUCCGAUUCACAUGAAGAAAUACAGGUUCAUCACUACUAAGUGGCUGGAGAGCAGUGCACUAUCAUCCUCCCUGCCCUACCGAGCAACAGGAGAGGAGAAGACCUGUCGAGGUCUGUCUGCAUAGAGCUGCAGGUGAGCCUGUGUGUUGAAAACUUGCAGUGGCAGUGUUUAGUGCGUCUGUUCUUGUUUGGCCCUUCGCACAUCCGUGAAGCUUGGAUCAAGUAUCAGAUCAGUCGUGUGGGCGUGUUAGAGAGAAAUAGAGUGUGAGAGAGAGAGGUGUUGGUGCUUUCUCAGUGGUUUUCCAUUUCAUCUCUCUUUCUCUUCCUCACCUGCUUCCCUCUUCUUCGCUUUAUGUCCUGAACCAGGGCAGGCAAUCAAACUUCUUCCUGGACUUGAGCCUGAGAGCCUUAAAGGAUAUUGGUGAUUUUCUAAAUCUAAAUUGUCAUUAUGAAAAAAUAUGGGAAUUGUAUCUGAUCUAUAAACAACUCCACAUAAUAGCAGUGCUGACUUUCUCAGUCUCUGGUAGUUCCUCUAGGGCAGAGGCUACUGGGCAUGCUCAGACACAUAGUUUGUAUUGCAGUCAGUGUUUUUCAACCUGUGUGACUAUGCAUUAGAAAAUAAAGUGAUGUGUACCUACCAGAAUGUCUGGACCACAUGAUGAUGUACUUUUUACCCUAGGAUCUUGUAUUUGUUUUUCUCCUACCUAAAGCACUCAAGUAUGCAGAAAGGUUGGGGGGGUCGGUGGUUAUGAUACAUGGAUGUUCAUGGUAGUAUCUCCCAUGUUGCACCUCCUGCAAUAUAGACUCCAGAUUGACCCAUGUCUUGCAGAAUCUACAUUUGGUCUCUGAUGGCAUCACUAAGCACUGACUGCAGCACUGUUCUGUUUGAGUUGCUCAGUGCUUCACUCUUCGUUCAGUGGAUAACAUUAAAGUCUGCUAUUGCCCUCAAUCUCUUGCCUUCCAGUAAGUAUCAGUUGUUUCUUCUUUUGAAUACUCCAUCUCAUACACGUACGGUACUGUGACUCAAGUCAUGUCUGAAACAUUUCCUCUUGAGCGUCGACCACCUUACAGGAACUAUUCUGCACAGACUGGUUAUUCAUUAUUUGUUUUUGGAGCUGUCUGUAGAGAAACUACAGUGUUAUAUAUUUUAUGAAGCAGCAUGUCUCCCAGUGCAGUGUUGUGGCUCACUGAUGUGUUAUUAGUAAUGAGUUUUUGGACAGUGAAGUGGAGCUCUAUAGCAUAAAACAAAAAUAAGUUAAGGUUUUGACUAUGAACUGCUUAUUAAGAUACAUGCAUUUCAUUGGCUUUGCUGGCAAGAAGAUGAAUAUAGAAAAUUACUUUUGUUCAUUAACCAUUCUAGAGUGCAUUAGAUUUGAGGUCCCUGGGUUUCCCUAGACUCUCAUCUUGGCAAAAACAAGGAAGAGACAGACAACAUAAUUUAAAGCAUUAACUUCAUUAACUACAUCUCCACAGAUCCUUUUUAAGUUUCCCCUCAGACAGACAUAGUGUGUAGUAGUUGUGAUUAAAUGUCAUGCAUAUUUGUGCCUCAUUAUUAUUAUUAUUGCCUACCUGACGAGAAACAGGCUGAGAUGUCUAACUAAUAGUACUUAAUAGUAAUCAGUGUGGUGCAGACUAGCAUUUGUAAUUCAUCUCAGAAUGUGGAUGUGUCUAAAGUGCUGCGUGGGCCCAGACAACAACCAUUCCAAGUUGUUUCUCUCUUUGCCAAUCUCCACAUUUUGCUUUCUUGAAAUAUUGAUUCCAAACAUCAAAACAUUUGUGUGUGUUGCAGACUCUGACAUUUGGGCCGUCUCUCA